GCAGACAUAGUUUAAUGGCAAAACCGUCCUCUUGUAAGGGACAGUUCGCGGUUCGACCCCGCGUGUCUGCUCCA
rnacentral:tRNA from 1 species